rnacentral:misc_RNA from 1 species
GAUGAAGAACGUAGCGAAAUGCGAUAAGUAGUGUGAAUUGCAGAAUUCAGUGAAUCAUUGAAUCUUUGAACGCACAUUGCGCCCUUCGGUAUUCCGUUGGGCAUGCCUGUUCGAGCGUCAUUUAAACCUUCAAGCUAUGCUUGGUGUUGGGUGUUUGUUCCGCCUCUGCGCGUGGACUCGCCUCAAAUUCAUUGGCAGCCGGUAUGUUGGCUUCGUGCGCAGCACAUUGCAAGCGACUUCAACAAACCUCCUUCCAUAAGCCUUUUUUUUACUUUGACCUCGGAUCAGGUAGGGAUACCCGCUGAACUUAAGCAUAUCAAUAAGCGGAGGA